GACGAACGCUGGCGGCGUGCUUAACACAUGCAAGUCGAGCGAACGGACGAGAAGCUUGCUUUUCUGAUGUUAGCGGCGGACGGGUGAGUAACACGUGGAUAACCUACCUAUAAGACUGGGAUAACUUCGGGAAACCGGAGCUAAUACCGGAUAAUAUUUUGAACCGCAUGGUUCAAAAGUGAAAGACGGUCUUGCUGUCACUUAUAGAUGGAUCCGCGCUGCAUUAGCUAGUUGGUAAGGUAACGGCUUACCAAGGCAACGAUACAUAGCCGACCUGAGAGGGUGAUCGGCCACACUGGAACUGAGACACGGUCCAGACUCCUACGGGAGGCAGCAGUAGGGAAUCUUCCGCAAUGGGCGAAAGCCUGACGGAGCAACGCCGCGUGAGUGAUGAAGGUCUUCGGAUCGUAAAACUCUGUUAUUAGGGAAGAACAUAUGUGUAAGUAACUGUGCACAUCUUGACGGUACCUAAUCAGAAAGCCACGGCUAACUACGUG
rnacentral:rRNA from 1 species